rnacentral:rRNA from 1 species
CCAGACUCCUACGGGAGGCAGCCGUGGGGACUCUUGCACAAUGGGGGACCCCCUGAUGCAGCGACGCCGCGUGCGCGAUGAAGUAUUUCGGUAUGUAAAGCUCUAUCAGCAGGGAAGACAAUGACGGUACCUGACUAAGAAGCCCCGGCUAACUACGUGCCAGCAGCCGCGGUCCUACGGAGGGUGCAAGCGUUACUCGGAAUCACGGGGCGUCAAGAGCGCGGAGGCGGGAUAGCAAGUCAGAUGUGAAAGCCGAUGGCUGAACCAGAGAACGGCAGGGGAAACGGGUAGGCGAGAGGAGGGGAGAGGUAGGGGGAAUGCUUGGGGGAGGGGUAAAAGCCGGAGAGAGCAAGAGGAAGACUCAGGGCGAAGGCGACCGGCGAGAACAGAACUGACGCGGAGGCGCGAAAGCGGGGGGAGCAAACAGGAGGAGAGACCCGGGUAC